GAUUAAUAUGUCUUGCUUGUAGGUAUAUUAUGUUUUUUUUCUACCUUUUAGUUAGGUUUCAUAUCUCACUUAUAGGUAUAAUAUACAUUCAUAUAUUUGCUACUUGAGUUGGGGUAGAAUGUUUUGCAGAUAGAUUUAUGUUAGUAUAUUAAUUUUUUUUUGUUUAUAAGAUAUUAAUUAGAUAUUUUGGAGUUGAAAAAUGCAUAAUAUUAAAAGAUUUUAAUUGAUUUUUAAUAUUUUUAGAAAAUAUAAAAGGAGUAUAAAAGAAAUAAAAACAUAUAAUUAGAUAAC
rnacentral:lncRNA from 1 species